CAUCAGUCUACAAAAGCCGGUAGUUAAGUCACAGGACAGUUUUAUUUGUGUGGUACCUUCUUGGUGAAAUUAAGCUAAAGCGAGAAGCAGUUUUCAGCUGAAUAAAUCUCUUGUCCGCGUGGGUAAAAAGCUGCAUUAGUCAAGUGACCUUUUCUACAAACAAGGUCGGAAAGUCUCAGCGAACACAGGCACGGUUGUCCGUCUUUCAUUGCAUCUUCUGCUGACUUCAGAGUGUUAAAUAUAUCUCAAUGACACACGUGCAUGCUUUAAUUGAGUCCUCUAUUGCUUCCACUCUAAAUAAUAUCUUUCAGCAAUGUUGCAGGCUAGGACAAGGUAACAUAAAAUUGAGUUAUGAUACACUUGCUUGAUUAUCAUUAGAGUUUGUGAACAGAUGCUGCGCGGAACAGGCCGCCAGUAGCAGGACGGCGCAGAGUCUGUUGAGCGGUGCCAAAUGCGCGAGAGACAAGCUGUCAACCAGUACAAACCAGCCAAUCAAAAGCCUCAGUUUCAUCGUCAGAAGAUUAACGAUGACAGAGCAGGGUCUGAUCCUUUCAUUUCGGGCUUUGCGGGAGAUCAGGGGUUGCACCCUGCUGUCUAUGCAAGAUUCACCGUGGCGGCACCAUGUCUGUACUUCAGAAAGACAUGAAACCCAAAGGGAAAAGACAAAUGCCACAGUAAAAGUCUUCCCGGUGUGCCGUGUGGUCCCUCAUGCAGGCGUCAUGCGUGAAAACGGGCUAGGAAGAUGAAGAUCAAGGUACCCCACACGUUAAGUUUCAUAAGAAGAUAAAGAACAGAGAGAUCGUCGUGUCAUCGCAUGGGAGCCGAUGAGCAGCACAGCGCAGGGUGCAGAGCGAUCCAUUUACCCGAAAAAUGGUUACGGGCUACAAAUACAUCUGCUUUAAAGGCCCGCGUGGAGAGGGGUUUGAGUUAUAACUCUUGCUUGCAUAAUACACAUGAUUUUCCGUUUUCUGUAUUUACAUAUUCAGUCUGCUACACCCAUCGGUUUUCCUGUGGAGAUUGACUGUUUGCUUUUGAACUCCUGUUUGUCUUUCGUUUUUAUCUCGAGCUCAUCCCGUGGCACUCGUGGGAAGGGUCCUAGUCUAAUCCAGAGAAGCUCAAUCCAAGCAGGAGGAGCAGGAACAAAUUUGAUUCCUCUGAGAAAGUGGGGUGUCAACACCCCUCAUAAACUCAUCUAGGAAAAUUGACUUUGUUCUCCAAAAAAAAAACCGUGAACGUGCUGUUCAUUACAAUCACCUGCUGCAGUGAAAUCUAACGCAUGAUGCCUAAUGGAAAGUGCAAAUCACUGGAUGCGUCCAACAGCAGCUAGCAUUGACAGAUUGUGCAUUUAUUGAAGUGGGCAGCUGUGCAUGGUGCAAGGACCUUGAACCUGCUGAGAUGUGGCUUCAAACAGUGCCCGGCUUUGCCUGCCAUAAACGCUCGGCCGAUUUCUAAGAGCCGCAUCAUGGUGCCUGUGUCUCGUGGCGGGGAUUUCGUUGAUCGGUAGUGGGACGCUAAACCCAGAUGGAUUGCGGAUCAAGCCGGUAUCCAAGACAUCCCUGGAGAUUAACCUUUUAGGUUAAGUAAUUAAAUGAAAAUAUAUAUUUGUUCAGAUGGCCCGAGGCCAAGUCCUUGUGCUGCGUUUCUGUUUAAUAUAGUUUUCUUUAGAGUGGACUUUUGGCAUUUGGCUGCAAAGUACAAGGUUAGAUGGAAAAACAUCCUUAAAAUCUUCAAAUACAUCCGCUGUCUUGAGCUUAAAUGCUUCCUAUCAUCAGCCCGGAGUCUAGUACCAAUCCAAGAUUUUGUUUGAAAUGUCAAGGAUGUUUAAAAAAUGAAUGUUCUUUCUGUAUUUCAACUCAACUUUUUGCUCUUUCUGUAUUUCAACUCAACUUUUUGCUCUUUCAUACUAGAGUACCACAGACGGUUUUGAAAGGUAAUCAGAUCCAGCUGUCGAGGAGUCGCUGAGGUGUCCACCUCAGCGCACAUUUGAAUCUACAUAUCGGACUAGGGCUGUGUGUCCUCUGCUAGCUCUUCGCUGGCUCUAUUCAUGCUUUCAUCAAAUAAGUGAAAGGCAAAGUCAGUCAGGUGUGUCCUUCUGCAAAGCUCAAACUUAAAACGAGUGUAAAGAUAAAACUGAGGUAAUUUCCUGAACUGUGGACGGCCCUCGCAUCAGGAGGACAGCAAUUCAUACGCCAUCACAGAAUUAGUUCUGCAGUUAAAGAUGAAGCUGGAUUCAAAGUAAUAUAUUGAAGCGUUGCGGUUAUGGAACCUUGCAGUACACAUAGAAGGAUUGCGUCUUAAAGGGAUAGUACACCCCCCAAAAAAUGAUCUAGUUUUUUAAUUUUGUGUUGUUUCAAUAUUACAAUGAGAAUAGAACAUUCAUGGAUCUCAAGAGAAACGUUUAUCUUGCUCUUUGUUAAUUUUUGGAACUUGACAGCCCCAGUCCCCAUUCACUUUCAUUGUAUGGAGAUGAGCACCCCAGGACAUUCUUCCUAAUAUGUCUUUUCAUGAUGACACCGUUUUCAGUGUUUCUUCAAAGGUUUCAAAUCGUGCAAGGAAGAGUAUUUGCAACGUUCAUGCAAUAAUGAUUCAUAAGUCUUCUUGGAUUGCAACAAAUGGCAGCUUUGUCUAUAUUUGCCAUUUACAAGCAAUAUUCAGCAAAGACGUGUUCAGAAUAUGGUCUAUGGAGGGAAAUCUCUGUGAAAUCCAUACCGGACAGUGUGUUUUUUUAUUUCCGAUUGUGUUGCAUGGAGAUGAUCUUACCUCUCCUUUGUGCUAUUUUAACAUUACUUCACUAUUCAUGUCUUGUAUUACGCCACCACUUUAUGAAAUUGAUGCAGUUUUUCCCUGCUGUAAAGACGGACAUGGAAUCCCAUUAUGUCUUCAUACCCCACCAAGGGUGUAGUGCUUUAUUUUCAAUCAGAUUUCAGCCACGCUCACCUGCAAUGUGGAACAGGGAUACUAUUCAAAUGUUGCUUUUUCAUUCUAUUUAUUUAUUUCUGCUUUCAAGCACUUAAGUUGCAAAUAGGAAAGCCAUUAUAGUGGCCUGUGUUAUGUUGGGUAGAUGUGAAGGUUUCGCAUCAUUUUCUUUCUUUAGCAUUAUAGGGUUGAUAUUCUUGUACAAUACAUUGAUAUUCAUGUGCAAUAUAUUUAAUUUAUCUAUAUAUAUACAGCAAAUAAGUGCACUAUUAUGUCCCUUUUCUGAUCUGUAUGCUUUGUAAGAUCAUUCAGUUUUAUUGUUUUGCACAGUAUUUGUUAUUCCAUUCCAUUAUAAAUUCAUCAUAUUUGAUUCAGAAUAUAUUAAGAAGGUCUGCA